rnacentral:rRNA from 1 species
GAUGAACGCUGGCGGCGUGCCUAAUACAUGCAAGUCGAGCGAACGGACGCGACGCUUGCUUUUCUCAUGUUAGCGGCGGACGGGUGAGUAACACGUGGAUCCCCUCCCUAUAAUACUGGUAUAACUUCGGGAAACCGGCGCUAAUCCCGGAUAAUAUUUUGAACCACAUGGUUCAAAGGUGAAAGACGGUCUUGCUGUCACUUCUCGCUGGAUCCGCGCUGCAUUAGCUAGUUGGUAAGGUAACGGCUCACCAAGGCAACGAUGCCUAGCCGAACUGAGAGGGUGAUAGCCGACACGGGAGCGGAGACACGGUCCAGACGCCUAAGGGAGGCAGCAGUAGGGAACCUUACGCAAUGGGCGAAAGUAUGACGGAGCAACGCCGCGUGAGAGAUGAAGGUCUUCGGAGCGUAAAAAUCUGUUAUGAGGGAAGAACAGAUGUGGAAGGAAAUGUGCACAGCGUGACGGUACCUAAUCAGAAAGCCACGGCUAACUACGUG